AAUAGUUAAAAAAAUCUUUCGCAUUCUAAUUCUAUAGCUAAAUCAUGUGUUGUUGCUAUAUUAUAAACUUUCGUGCAUGAGCCAUUUAAAUCCGUUUGCAUUACUUUUUUAGUUGUUUCCCCUGGAAAAUUCUCUUCUUGCUAGCGUUCGCUGAGUUAUUCAACAACAUCGCUAUAUUGCUGAUUUUUGCUGUUGUUUUUUGGUUAAAGCUGCAUGCUUUUGUUGGAUAAUGUUUAAUUUAUCAUUCACGUUUUACAUAUGAUUCUGUUUAAACCAUAUUUAAUCGAUGUUUUGGUGAAUUUCGCGCAUGCUUAACUUGCCUGAUUUCGGACGUAAUUUACUUUCGGAUACAUGCUCCUCUUGUGUUUUUUUCGAUGUUUUCUUAUGUAUGCAGAUUUAAAAAAACAGCUCAUGCUUAAAUGUGUUAUUGAGCAAGUGACUUCUUAAUACUAUGGCAGGAAUAAAAAAAACUGUUAUAAAAUUAUAAAGGAAGUUUAGUUACAUGUAUAAACUCACAGUCACAAGUGUUAACACCUGGCGCCGUGACCUGGAUGCAGAUUCUAAGCAGAUGGGCCAAAAUGGGGGCAGCUAGAGAGACUCGCCUGGAACUGACAAGCCUGGAGGGAGCUGGUUGACUGUUGGCGAGAUGGGACAACAGACUAAGAAUAAACGAACCUACUUGAUUUGAUAAACAUUUUUUUUCGUCGGAAGACAUUUCCCACCAACCAUCCUGUCUUGAAAGAAAUAACUUUUGAACCCGAUUAUCUGAUAUUUUCCAGUUUCCCCUCACAACAAUUUGCAUCAAACCUCUUGUCUGUCUCUGGUUGCUUGAUGUGGCGACUGCAGAAACGGCUCAGCAAAGCGUCUUCGUUGGAGCAAACAACCCUGCAUUCUGGACACCGAUUGGCAGGGGGGAACCCUAGGAAGGUCAGGGCGGAGGUUCGGGAGGGCAGGGCGUGGCGCCCUUCGAUUUAGGCCUUGCUGGAGCACUGGUAUUGCACGGGUGGAAUCCAUUGUGGUAUUCAGGUAAGUGUUGUUUUGUCAAAGUAUUAAUAAAAUCUUAUCAUAAAUAAAGAAGUUAUGUGAAUUUAAGCAAAAUGUCCAAUUCUCAAAGUAAAAAAGGGGCCAUAAUUCUAUCAAAAUGCUUGAUUCAGUGGUCUAAUCUUGUUUAUAGGUUGGGGUCAUGUUGGUAAACAAGUAUGCAAAAUAUAAUAGCAAUAUGUCAAAGGACAUAGGAAAUAUUUGGGGUAGUACGCAAACUUUAACAUAGAUUUAUCAAUAAUAUGCAUAUUCUGAGUAUAAAAGGGGCCGUAAUUCUAUCAAAAUGCUUGAUUAAGUGGUCUGCUCUUGUUUGUAGGUUAAAGGUCAUGUUGGUAAACAAGUAUGCAAUAUAACAAAGCAAUAUGUUAAAGGACAUAGGAAAUAUUUGGGGUAGUAUGCACAAUUUAACAUAGAUUUAUCAAUAAUAUGCAUAUUCUAAGUAUAAAAGGGGCAAUAAUUCUGUCAAAAUGCUUGAUACAGUGGUUUGCUCUUGUUUAUAGGUUGGGAUCAUGUUGGUAAACAAGUAUGCAAAAUAUGAAAGCAAUAUGUCAAUGGACAUUGAAAAUAUUUGAAGUAGUACGCAAACUUUAACAUUUGCACGCUCACGGAAACGCCAACGCCGGGGUGAGUAGGAUAGCUCCACUAUAUAUAUUUCAUAUAUAAUAGUCCAGCUAAAAUACAGUCAACAAUUAAAGAGUUGUAGUCACUGGGAAUGUGAUUUUGCAUAUAUACACUUCAUGUUGACAACCUAUUAUUUUCAAUUAAAUUGUUAAACAAGAUCUGUCUCCAUAGGAUGACGUAUGCCCCCAAUAAAUGCUUUGAUAGAAAUUAUGAGCAUUUUUCGAAAUCUAAAUGCAUUUUUUGAACCCUAAACACGGACCCUAAGGUCAAGGUCAUGGGGUAAAAAUGUGUGUGCGUAUGGAAAGGCCUUGUCCAUGUACACAUGCAUAUCAAAUAUGAAUGUUACAUCUGAAGCGACAAAAGAAGUUAUGAGCAUUUUUCGAAACCUAAACACAAAGUGUGACGGACGGACAGACAGACAUCAGAUAAACAGACAGAAGGACAGUGCGAUCACUAUAUGCCCUCCUUCAGCGGCAUAAAAAACGUUAAUUUAGAAAUGCAAAAUAAGUCCCAAACUAGAGAGCGGACACCAUACUUAAUCCUUGAAAUGCACUAAGUGACCCUGUGACCUAGUUUUUGACCCGGCAUGACCCAUAUUCGAACAUGACCUAGAUGUUGUCUUGAUACAACUUCUGACCAAGUUUGGUAAAGAUCAGAUGAAAACUACUUCAAUUAGAGAGCAGACACCAUGCUUAAACCUUAAAAUGCACUAAGUGACCCCAUGGUCUAGUUUUUGACCCGGCAUGGCCCAUAUUCGAGCUUGACCUAGAUAUUGCCUAGAUACAACUUCUGAAGUUUGGUAAAGAUCAGAUGAAAACUAUUUGAAUUAGAGAGCGGACAAGAAAAGUGUGACAGACAGACAGACAGUGCGAAAACUAUAUACCCACUUUUCUUCGAAAGGGGGCAUAAAAAAUGUGGAGUAAAAUAUAUACAAAUGUGUUCUUUUUCUUUGCAGACUGACUUACCUAUCAAAAUAGUUACAUAAACAAAUAUGUAUAAUUAUAUUGUUAAUAUUAUGCGCAUAAAUAAAACAUUUGCUAUUUCAUGUAAAAUUAAUUGUAGACAGGAAAUAAUGAAACAAGAAACCGUUUGAGACGGGUGAUGCUCCACAAAGGUUUUUUUGUCACAAUAUUGCACUAUAUAUUCAGAUAAAAGGAAACGUCUUGAGGGGCAUAACUUUGGACAAAAUAAUACAAUGGAUGGUUUAGUAACUUAAAAAUUUCAAAGGGCCAUAACUCUGUAAAUAAAUCAUCUAACCAGAACCCACUUAUAACAUGCGCAUCUCCUCAAGGUAGUUAAGCUUCCCAUAAAGCUUCAUUGUAUUCCAGUCAGUAGUUGGGGAGAAAUAGCCCGGACAAGAAUUGCACUAUAUGUACAGUUUAUAGAAAAUUUCAAAGGGCCAUAACUCUGUGAAAAAUCAUCCGACCAUAACCGGCUUAUAAUAUGCACAUCUCCUGUUGGUAGUGAAGCUUCUCAUAAAAUUUCAUUGAAUUCAUGUAAUAAGUUGCUGAGAAAUAGCUCGGACAAGAAUUGCACUAUAUGUACAAUGGAAAAUUUCAAAUGGCCAUAACUCUGUGGAAAAUCAUCCGACGAGAACCGGCUGAUAAUAUGCACAUCUCCUGUUGGUAGUGAAGCUUCCCAUAAAGUUUCAUUGAAUUCCCGUAAUAAGUUGCUGAGAAAUAGCCCGGACAAGAAUUGCUCUAUAUGUACAAUGGAAAAUUUCAAAGGGCCAUAACUCUGUGAAAAAUCAUCCGACCAGAACCCGCUGAUAAUAUGCACAUCUCCUCUUGGUAGUGAUGCUUCCCAUAAAGUUUCAUUGAACUCCAGUCAUUAGUUGCUGAGAAAUAGCCCGGACAAGAAUUGCACUUUAUGUACAGUAAAUGGAAAAUUUCAAAGGGCCAUAACUCUGUGAAAAAUCAUCCGACCAGAACCCGCUGAUUAUAUGCACAUCUCCUCUUGGUAGUAAAUCUUCCCAUAAAGUUUCAUUAAAUUCCGGUCAUUAAUUGCUGAGAAAUAGCCCUGACAAGAAUUGCACUACAGUAUAUGUACAGUUAAUAGAAAAUUUAAAAGGGCCAUAACUCUGUGACAAAUCAUCCGACCAGAACCCGCUGAUAAUAUGAACAUUUCCUCUUAAUAGUGAAGCUUCCCAUUAAGUUUCAUUGAAUUCCGGCCUUUAGUUGCUGAGAAAUAGCCCGGACAAAAAUUGUUCACGGACGGACAGACGGACUGACGAAGCGGCGACUAUAUGCUCCCCCCGAAAUUUUUUGGGGGAGCAUAAAAUGUCAAAUUAACAUGGAUAAUAGAAAAUAUUGUGAAAUGCUUUAUUUAUAAAUAAGAAACUAGAUAACACUUCUAAAAUGAUUGCAAGUUUCCAUGACUCAUUGAGGAAUAAACCAUGUAAAAUGUUAGUUUUGCAAAUUUAUAUAGUUAUGGGAAACAACUACAUUAAAUUUAAAUAUCAAAGCUUUUUUUAUAAUUGUAUAUGUACCGGUAAAACACCGCUUCAUUCGUAAGAAUGUCAUUUGAGCCUAGAUGAAGAUACAGCUGUUGAACAUCCAUCUUCCGCAAGUCUCUCAACAAUGCAUGGCGAAAACGAUCAAAAGAAAAUUUGGCACCUUUGAAAACAGAGUUGGCGAAUGUCUGUGUAAAUAAAUCACAAAUAUACAUGAAUAAAUACACAAGGAAAAUUCAUGACAUUUUGACGUUGUAAUAUAUUGUAUUAUGCCCUGAUGAGCUAUGCGAAACGCGUUGGCUAAAUCAAUAUAUAUUUAAAAUCCCAGACACGUGUUUUUACUUUUAUUAUAUAUAUAGAUAUAGAUAUAACAACGGAAUACUUAUGAUUUAUCAACAUUAUUUUUAAAUGUUUAUGGAUUAUAUGUCUUGAGUGAUUUGUUUGUUGCUUGUUGAUGUCCGGGAUGUGUACGGGAUGCUUUUGAUGUUUGUUUGUUAUGUUAAUUUUCGCAAUGAAAUUAAUAACGUUUAUUUACAUGUUUUACUAAAGAAUACUUAAUUUUUAAAGUAAAUAAUAGCUGCUUAUUUGUUUAUUUCUCUUAAAUUAGAGGUUUCGGGAGGAGAUUCAGGCACCUAGACACCGGUCUUGAGCCAUGGGUCCUCAUACGUCCCCCUGCCAUUAAAAGAAAUAAAGAAAGAAAUGAAAAAUGGCAGUAGGGUUGCGUAUCCCGCUCGCGGUUUUACAUGAAUCGUUUAUUACUACCGAUUAUUGUAUGGGGUGUACGUGAAGUCAUGUACACUUCUCUUGAUUGGUGGUGGUGGAUGAAUCUUGCAGAUAAUAGCAGCUUCUUUAAACAAAUUAAUGUUUCACAUUUGUACAUUUAUAAUAUUUUAGCAACUUAACGUGAUCGAUGGGCAUUGGGUGCGUCCUGUGUGCACUUUGGGCAUCGGCGGGGAUCAGAUUAGUCAAACAGUAACUAUUGAUUUUAGGUACCGGUAUAUACUUGCCGUCGAAUUGUUUUGAUUGCACUUUUUUACAUGCCACACAUGUGCACGUUAAGUAUUUAUAAUUACAUGCCCUACGUCAUUUAAAUAGUAUCGUUUCAGUUCUUUAGACAUCUGAACAAAGAGAUUACACCGUUUACAGUCGUCUCGAGACUCCUCAACUGAGCUGUGGCUCAUGGAACACAUACGAGCGUCAGAAGAAUUGUUUUCUGCAUUAAAAUGUCGAAUGUCCUGUCAAAUACAUGCACUCACUCCUA